GCGUCCGUCACACGAUGCGGAAGAUCGCGGACAAUUUCGGAUCCAAAAUGCGUCCCCGCUGGAGAUGCCCUCACGGCGCUCAGGCUCACGCCCAUGUCUUCUCCCUCCCCCUGCUGCAGAAUUCCUCCCUAGUUCACUCCGCCGGCGGCCAGGACAGGGCCUCCCCUGGUUCGCGUCCGCCGAGGCCAGGACCGGCCUCUCCCCUGGUACCCCUCCGCAGGCGGCAGGACAGGCCCCUGCCCUGGUUCCCCUCCGCCGGCGACAAGAAGGGCCCCUCCCCUGGUUUCCCUCGGCCGGCGACAGGACAGGCCCCUCCCCUGGUUCCCCUCUGCGGGCGCCAAGAUCGCGCCUAUCCCUCCCUCCGCGCGGCUGCCGCGAGUUCUACCCCCUACUCUGCCUCUCGCCACUGCCGCAACGGCCGCCCCCUCCCCUGCCUCGCCGCUGCUCACCGGAAGCCAAGCGAGCAUGUUGGCAUGUGCUUUUCAUCAUUCUGCCGGUAUGUAGAAGCUCAUCAUUUAUACUUGCUGGACUACUUGGAAAGAAGUCUACAUGACCCCCCUAACUAUCAGGUUUGGGACACUAAGCCCCCCUAAGUUUGGAUUGGGGUACUUAACCCCCUUAAGUAUUAUAGGACAAAGCCCGUGCUUCGCUACGGAGCAAGUAUCCGUGAACAGAGAUUUGAUGAGCCAUCCGGUCUUAAAUACUCCGUAUUUGUUAGGCAUGCCACAUAAUGAAUUGACAUGGCUUAAGUUUACUUUCGCAAAACAUGCUUACAUGAAAAGAAAUAGGAGAAUAGCUGGACUAAAUUUUUAACUAAGCUGUCUUGCAAAGUUGCAAAAUAGACAUGAUUGACAUCAUAUCUUGCGGAUACCAGACCUUUUGUUAGCUCUUGGUUUUAGCAUCCCAAAGCAGUGGUCUACAGAGACAAUGCAGAAUUGUCAUCCUCAACAUUCUAAUGUAGAAAAGCAACGAUAAUCCAGACUUCGGAGACACGCCCUACCUGUCCCGCACCCCCUCCUCCCGCCACCGCCACCGGUGGCGCCGCCGGGCAAAGCCCCGGUGGUGUGGCGGCGGCAGGGCGUCUUCUUCUGCUGCGCCGGGUAGCGCCCGGCUUAUUCUUCAUUUGGUGUACUGGGACGGCGCCGAGAUGGUGGAGGCGGCGUCGCGUCGGAAUAAGGGUGUUGGAGCUCGAUCCCCAUCUCGGCAAGGCCACUUGUGGCGGCGCCGGUGAGCUGCUGGCCUGGUUUCCUCUCAGGUCUGCGGAUCGGGGGAGGGGGGAUUCCCCGGGCGCGAUUGAAUUUCGACCCUGCCGUGGAGUUUGCGGAGUCUGUUCUGAAGUCGGAGGAGUGCUGAUGUUGUUGCCUUCUCCUCGGCCGGCUGUGGUGGUGAGGGAGAGGAAGGAGAUGUCACCACUAUCUUCCUUUUUAGAGUUUGUGUUCUUCGGUGGUUUGCGGCUGUCACGUUUUGCAGUUUCUUCCGGCCGGCCUUGGUGGCGAGGGGAGCAGGCGGUUCGACGUGUCAACGCUAAAAUCGGGCAGAUGGUGGAGCAUUCUGCUGGUGGCUUGGAUUUACUGCUCGGGUAUAUUUCUUUGGAGGUACUGCUUGCUCUUCCCCUCCCGCCUGCCCGAUAGUCUGAAAAAAUUAUUAGCUCUCACCCCCCGGAGCGGGCACUCCUUCGGUGUACAGCUCCCCGUCGGAAACUGCUGACACCACAUUUUGUUUCCCCGACGUGCAUUGCAUCGCGUAUUUCUAAAUGCUACGCCCAGUUUGCUCUGACGAUCGCCAGGACCAAGAUGUGGAAGCAGGCGCCAAACACGGAUCUGCGCGGCAGGGCUAUCGACGACAUAAAAUUGAUGCACUCAAGAUUCAAGAGAGCACACAUAUAAACCACCGAAACCAAAAUAGAAUGGAAGUAGUACGUAAACGACAUCUGCACUUUCCUUACUUUCCGGACUGAGAUCGCUUUCGAUGAUGCACGUUGUGCAAUGGAUCUUUGCUAAUUCUGGUAGGAAACGGUAUCUGGAUGUGCUCCGCCUCCUCACGAACCUCAAAAGUUCCAGAUCAAACCAUGAAAGAAGCACACGUACCGAUCCUGUUUUUCUGAACAUUGGUUUGUCCAUGGCCCAUGGCUGCCGAGACAACAGGACGCCGGUUUGGAACAUAUGAAGGCGUCUUUUUUCUGGUGGCCGGGACAUUGAUCGAGUGAGUGGGGUAGGGAUUGUCUCGGCAGGGCCGACGACGAGGACAUGCAAUUGAUGCACUCAGGAUUCAUGUACUCGCGGAUCGUCACCAGCUACGUCUUCUCUGUGGGCGAUGACCGGCUGCCGGUGGCACCGAUUAGAGAGAUCGAGAGACCAAAGUCUCUCCGCUCGCUCUCAUAAGUCGCACGCUCUCGUGUAUACGUAGGCCUGGCGAUCUCGGUCGGGAGCAGAGCGUAGCUGCCGAUGAAACAAUGCGGAAACAAUUCGCUCGUGCAUAUGUAGGCUCAGCGAUCUGAGUCUGGAGCGGAGCCCACGAGCCGACGAAAGAAAACCCUUGAACAAAUAAAACCAGAUCGACCAGAAACUGGAGCAUAACUCGUUCGAUGGCAGGACUUAGAGGCGACAUACGAAAUCUAUGAACUUGUCGUGGUCGGAUACAAAAUCAUUUAUUUGGGAAAGUCACCCGGACGUGUAUGUUUGCUCCUGUACGUUUGCUAGACAAAAUUUCCUUGUAGAACGGGAUUGAACCGGACACUGUUUCUUGUGUCAUAGUCAGUUAGUAAAAAGGGGCGUCCUAGGAAGGCUUAGGACGGACGAAAACGUACAGGCGACGGACGAAAGCGCAAACAUGACGGACCAAACUACGGAAACGCUUCUCCCUUUAUUAUUAGGUAUAGAUAUACCGUGCAAUUGACCCCCUCCACCCAUCUAGAGUGGUAUUGACCGGUGGUUUAGCUGACGUGGACAUUAAUUUAGCAUAGCUAGGCCGAAAAGAUUGGUUCAGCUCUGUCUAAAUCCUCUUCCAACUGAUCGCUGCCGCCCCGCUCGCCCGCUCUGUCCAAAGAGCUGCUCGCCAAUGGCUCCCACUGUAUGCGGCGCCGCCGCCUCUGCCCUCCGCUGACACCCCCACGCCUCGCUUCCCUUGUCACCGGAGCAGCCGAGCAGCCCGGGCACCGCUCGUGCUCCGGCCGCUGCGUGCCUUGUCGCUCGAGUGCCUGCAACCGCAUGCUCCUAGUCCUACAGGCCUCCGCCGGUGUUCCCUCCGCUGCCCCGGUCUUCCUCCGCAGUGGCCGUGGACAGCAUGAGGGCCAUCGUUCUGUUGCCUGAAUAUUUGUUCUUGUUCUGCAGCUGCGCAUGAACCAGAGAAAAGCUGGUGAAUUGAGGAUGCAAGCAAGCUACUGUAUGUCAAUGAAGAAUUACCCACAUGGCCUCAUGUGUCUAGCUACUGACGUUGUGCUACAAGAUCAUGUCCUGAAAUAGUAGAGUUCACUUGAUCUGAAUUUUUGCUCUCCACUCGAUUUUUAGGAUUCCCCUGCUGACUCCAUGUAAAACAUUGGGUUGUCGCUUUGGUCGUCUGUGCAAAUUCAGAGUUAGCUUUAAGACAAUUCAGGGAUCCAAGUUUGCCAAACAGAGAAGAACUAAGCUGAGGAAGCAAUCGAGCUAGUGAUGGAGGGUCACGUCCUGCAAGCUGCGAGCAUAGGAGAUGGCGGGAUUUGCUUCACUCCACGACGGCGGCAUGAAACUGUAUGCGUGUAUGACCAGAAGAGAGCAAGGAUUGCUAGAGGGAAUCCAUGGAGAUGAAAAAAAUAAAAAAAUUCAGCUACCUGCAGCUCCUUGAGCGUGCACUAGCGGCUCCGCUCGAGAUUGAGACACCUGUGGCACCGCCGGCGGCGCGUGGUCCGCCACGCCGUUGCAGCUCUCACAACUGCUGCCCUGCGACGAUGGCUCGCCGCCGCUCCGGUGACUGUGUGUGUGGUGUGGCAUGGGCAUCUUCGUAGCAGCGUCCACAAGGCGGGAGGGGACUACUUGGAAGCAGAGCGAGGACGGGGCGCCUGGCCUCCACUGCCCACGAGGCGAGGAAGCGGAGCAGAGGAGACAAUGCCACUUUAGAAUAGCUAGCGCGUGCCCACGUCAUCAAAACCACCUGCAAUACUGCUAAAACCACCGUGGGGGUUAACUGUCCGGUUUUGCAAACAUAGGGGGGUCACCCCAAUCUAAACUUAGGGGGGGUUAGCGUCCCAAACUUGAUAGUUAGAGGGGUUAUGUAGACUUCUUUCGACUACUUGCAUUGGGGUGCGCCAAAGAUGUGGUAUGGAGUUCCAGGAUAGGAUGCUGUGAAUCUGGAGUCCGCAUUGAGGAAACAUCUACUUGACAUGUUUGAGAUCAACCUGAUUUGCUUCACAACCUGGAUCAGUUAUGACGAUGAACUAAAGAAGCAGCACCUAAUGCUUCUCCACAAUGGAUUGUACCGUAUUAUCACGGGCGAGGCUUGAAAUGUUCGGUUUAUGCCUGAGUGCUUAUGCUAAAUAUUCCACUAUGUAAGGAACAUUUCCAGAAGCAGAGGAUAGGGAAUUCAAUGGGUUCCUUGGAGCCUACACCUAAGCAGAUAGCCUAUCUCAGGAAUAUGGGGUGCACCAUAAUACCCAUGUCUCGCCUCCACGCAUCGAAUCUUAUUGAGAAGUAUAAAUCUCUGUGACCUGUUUAACACCUGAUGAGUUGAAGUGCCACAUGAAGGCUUGUAGAGUUCUUCUUUUCGGGUUGUUGUAGCCUAGUUGUCUUAGCUUUUUCAUGUCUUUCUUUUUAGUUCUGUCGGGUUGUAAGGUUUGUCUCAUUAUUUUGACACUGUUAUAUGUUCGAGAAAUCAAGUCGUGAUGGGCCUAGCUUCGUGUGGCAGCACAGCGGAACUGUUUACGACAGGAUUCUUCGUGGCCCAUGUGUACAUACUAUAUAGUAUAUGAUGUGAAGUAUUGGAAAUCGGUUAUGCACCAGAUACAUUACAGUUACA